AUGCACGCUGACAGAAUGCUUAACACAUGCAAGUCUACUUGAAUUUGGGUUUUUUAACUUAGAUUUGGGUGGCGGACGGGUGAGUAACGCGUAAAGAACUUGCCUCACAGCUAGGGACAACAUUUGGAAACGAAUGCUAAUACCUGAUAUUAUGAUUAUAAGGCAUCUUAGAAUUAUGAAAGCUAUAUGCGCUGUGAGAGAGCUUUGCGUCCCAUUAGCUAGUUGGAGAGGUAACGGCUCACCAAGGCGAUGAUGGGUAGCCGGCCUGAGAGGGUGAACGGCCACAAGGGGACUGCGACACGGCCCUUACUCCUACGGGAGGCAGCAGUGGGGAAUAUUGGACAAUGGACCAAGAGUCUGAUCCAGCAAUUCUGUGUGCACGAUGACGUUUUUCGGAAUGUAAAGUGCUUUCAGUUGGGAAGAAAAAAAUGACGGUACCAACAGAAGAAGUGACGGCUAAAUACGUG
rnacentral:rRNA from 1 species